rnacentral:rRNA from 1 species
CCCUUAGAUGUUCUGGGCCGCACGCGCGCUACACCGAUGCAUUCAACGAGUUUCUUCCUGGUCCGAGAGGAAUGGGUAACCUUUUGAAAGCGCAUCGUGAUAGGGAUAGACUAUUGCAAUUAUUGGUCUUCAACGAGGAAUUCCUAGUAGACGUAGUUCAUCAGACUGCAUCGAUUACGUCCCUGCCCUUUGUACACACCGCCCGUCGCUCCUACCGAUUGAAUGCUCAGGUGAGCCAUUCGGACUUUCAUCAUGCUGGUUUCCAGUUUUGAUGAAGGAAAGUCUUGCGAACCUUAUCAUUUAGAGGAAGGAGAAGUCGUAACA